GAGAAUCUGCCUAGAGGUCGGGGACAACCAUUGGAAACGAUGGCUAAUACCGGAUAUGCCUUACGGGGUGAAAGAUUAAUUGCCUUUAGAAGAGCUCGCGUCUGAUUAGCUAGUUGGUGAGGUAAGAGCUCACCAAGGCAGCGAUCAGUAGCUGGUCUGAGAGGAUGACCAGCCACACUGGGACUGAGACACGGCCCAGACUCCUACGGGAGGCAGCAGUGGGGAAUUUUCCGCAAUGGGCGAAAGCCUGACGGAGCAAGACCGCGUGAGGGAGGAAGGCUCUUGGGUUGUAAACCUCUUUUGUCAGGGAAGAACAAAAUGACGGUACCUGACGAAUCAGCAUCGGCUAACUCCGUGCCAGCAGCCGCGGUAAUACGGAGGAUGCAAGCGUUAUCCGGAAUUAUUGGGCGUAAAGCGUCCGCAGGUGGCUGAUCAAGUCUGCGGUCAAAGACCGGGGCUUAACCCUGGAAAGGCCGUGGAAACUGAUAGAGCUAGAGUACCGUAGGGGUAGAGGGAAUUCCCGGUGUAGCGGUGAAAUGCGUAGAGAUCGGGAAGAACAUCGGUGGCGAAAGCGCUCUACUGGACGGUGACUGACACUCAGGGACGAAAGCUAGGGGAGCGAAUGGGAUUAGAUACCCCAGUAGUCCUAGCCGUAAACGAUGGAUACUA
rnacentral:rRNA from 1 species